AAGGAUGAGUCUGAGGAUCUUGAGGCUGAGGUGUUUGAGUUUAUGGAGGGUUCUGGUAACCCUUGUUUGUUUCCUAGUAGGCAGGAGCUGAUCGCGGCUGGACGUGGUGAUCUCUGCUGAGGCUAUUGCUUCCCGUGGUGGGUGGCUUGCCUAUGGAUGGGAUUGCGAGGAGGAGAGGGAGAAAGAGCAAGUGGAGGUGGAGAUGGAGGAGGGGAGCACGAGAAGGGUUUGGAGAGUGGUUGGGAGCCUGCGAAUGAGCCCUUGAGGGACUCUGGUGAGGAGUGUUUUGCUUUGGCUUCGUCUUCGGGUCGAUUGAUAGACAUGGAAAACGAGGAAGAUACGGGGAUUAAGGGGAUCUUGUGUAGGCUCGAGAAAGAGAGGAAUCUGACAUUUGGGUUGGGACCCAGAGAAAAGGAAAUCAACGGUAGUGUGUCUUGGAGGAGUGGCGAGCAUCAUCAAGAGCAUGCAGCAGCUAGCAAAGGCAGAGGCAGAUUGGAACCCUCUAACUAUCAUCAGAGUUCCAACUCAAAUUUUGGUGAUUCCCAUCCUCAAAGUCAAUUGCCAGCACAGACAACUGAACAGAAACAAUCAACACCUGAUGAAUGGGCAACAUGGAACCUUAAGAGACUUAAUUCAUUAUCUGAAUUUGAAGCUGCUGAAAUUGUUCCUGAUGAUAAAAAAACUGUGAACCACAGCUUCCUAAGUGAUGGUUUCAUUAAUGGCAAAGCUGUUGACUCUCUUGAAGAAAGUGGUUCUGGAAGGAAUGAACCAAAAUCUGAUGGUAAUGGGAGACACCAAAAUCAGAUACGUAUGCAGCUUCGUCAAUUGGAGUCAGAACUAACAUCUGUGCUUCAUCUGCUGAGGUCUGGAAAUGGUGGUGGAUAUUCCAGUAAGGAAUAUUCACUUGAGGAUAUGCAUAAGCUUUCUGAUGCAUGGGAAUUCCAAGAGACUGAAAUAAUGAAUGCGCGGAAUAAGCUUCGUUCUAUACGAGCAAAAAUAGCAGUACUGGAGGGAAAGAUUGCACUUGAGAUAAUAGAAACACAAAAAAUAAAUGAAGAUAAACAAAGAAGACUAGAUGCUGCUAAAAGAUCUAUACAACUUCUCCAAACGAUUUGCAUAAUUUGGGCAAAUUGUGCUUCAGAGGUAUUCCUGGCUGGAUCUUUUGAUGGAUGGGCAGGCAAGAGGAAGAUGGAAAAAUCAACCGCAGGCAUGUUUUACUUAUACUUAAAAUUGUAUCCUGGCCGAUACGAGAUCAAGUUCAUUGUGGAUGGUGCCUGGCAAGUUGACCCAUUGCGCCCUAUUGUGAAUAACAACGGCCAUGAGAAUAACCUUCUCAUCAUCACCUGAAAUGUACAUAUUUUGAUUAUUCGACUACACCUUCGGAGAAGAGAAGGCAUUAUUAUGGCCGCCACAGCCGUGUGGAGAGUUUUGUGAUUUAGCUGAAGCUGGAAAACUAAAGAGCUGGCCUGUUCAGUGAGGAAUCAGGUGAGGCCUUAAAAAAUAGCUGCAAUCCGCAGGUAUGUAAAUCUUGAUAUAGUGUUUGUUGCAGGAGGAAAUAUUCUAUUAUAUAUUUUAUUUAAUUAUAUAUUUUGGAGGAAUGUGGGCUAGCAUCUUCAAGGAUAAGAUGGUUCUAAUCUCACAACUCAUCUUAAAUAAUGUAAACUAUGAAGAAGAAAAAAAGUUUAAGAAAGAAUCUUUUAAUGUUUUUUUCUUCUCUCUUUUGAGAAGAUAUCAGGAGGGAGAGAUUAAGUUGUUGGUCAAGACGAUGAUGAUGUCUCACCUUUCAAUAAAUCACUGCACGUGAGCACAUCAAGGUCCUAACCAAGGCUCGUGGGGAUGGUCGUGUCCUCAUCCGAGCAUCAUCAUAUACACUUACAGCAUCCACUCAUGAGACACCUACCCUUAUUUAAUGUUCGUCGUCAUUCACUGCAAUUAUUGAAAAAAAAUAAAUUUAAAAGGAGAGUGAUGCGUGCAUAUCUCAUUUUCAUUCA